UAUUGCGCAAUGGAGGGAACUCUGACGCAGCGACGCCGCGUGAGCGAUCAUGGUCUUCGGAGUGUAAAGCUCUGUCCUUGGGGAAGAAGGUAGCCGUAAGGCUACUUGACGGCACCCAUGGAGGACGCCCCGUCUAGCUAUUUGCCAGCAGCCGCGGUAAUACGUAGGGGGCAAGCGUUGUCCGGAAUUAUUGGGCGUAAAGGGUGCGUAGGCGGCCCUUUAAGUCGGAUGUGAAAGCCCACGGCUUAACCGUGGGACUGCAUUUGAAACUGGAGGGCUUGAGUGUCGGAGAGGGCAGUGGAAUUCCCAGUGUAGCGGUGGAAUGCGUAGAUAUUGGGAGGAACACCAGUGGCGAAGGCGACUGCCUGGACGAUAACUGACGCUGAGGCACGAAAGCUAGGGGAGCAAAC
rnacentral:rRNA from 1 species